rnacentral:lncRNA from 1 species
GUAAACUUCAGUAAUGGCAGUAUUAGAAAGUUCAUGUAGGAACUAAAAGAAAAAUUGUUAAGCUUGUUUCCUUUAUAUCAUCAGUUACAUAUCCCACUGUUCUAAGCUAGUUUGUACAGUAUGUGGGAUCGGAUAUACUUAGAUAUUUUUAAAAAUUUCAUUCAUUAAUGCUUUUUUUGCAAAAUACUCAACUGGGAAUCCAACUGGAAAUUGCUGAGUAUGUCCCACCUCAAAUUAUUUUUUUAUCCUUUGGCAACAGCAGCAUGGAGCAAGGAUAUGUACAAUGAUAUCAGAUCCUUUUACUCAUACCUUUUUGAAAAAGAUUUGGGACUUUUUUAUUCUGGAGUCUGUACAGGUUUUCAGAGGUACUUGCCUACCUUCAUCCUUUCCCCAGGAAGUUAAAUUCAAAAUUGUGACUAUUUCAUUUACUUUCCUGGGGAAUGGGCCCAUGCCUGUAAUCAGGUUUUCCAAGCACUUGGACUGAAUUGAACCAUUGCUAGGUGACCAUAAAUGUUUUGAAUCGACUUUCAAGGAAUGGAGGAGGCAGGAAGUUAAAAGCAUCAUUUCAACUGCGAAAAUAUGGGUUAUCUGUAUUAAAGGGAAAUAACGUUUUGGUAUUAUCCAAAUUACUUCCCCUUUUGAAGAUUUCCUAUGUAAUUACAACUGUCAGUAAUACAAGAGAGCAAAUAUAUUUCCCUGGCAGCUGCUAAAAUUUGGAAUGCUGAACGUUGGUUUAAGGAGUUGCUUUCACCUCCUCCCCACCCCCGCCCGCCGCUUAGUUAAGCGUUUGUAUCUCCUGUUCCCCAGUAGUAGUAGUAGUACUACUUGGGGCUUUUGAAAGGGAGAGAAAAUGUUAGGGGAACCCAAUUAAUAAUCCUUGGGAUGGGAAAGUAUGAAGAAGGAAUAGAGGUAAUAAAUUUGACUAUCAUACUGGCAGUUGAUCUUAACCUGGGUCAAAUAACUUCAUUAAACCCUUCUCUAAGGCCAAGACACUAAAUCUAAUACUUCCAACCUUACCUGUUUCUAUGGCGCUUGUCACUCUAUAUUGUAAUUAUUGUGUCUGCCUGCCACCCUAAGGCUUAUAUUUUGGAUACUCAGUAUCUGGUACGAUUUUCUGACAUACACUUUACAUAUGUAUUCACUGAUACAUUGCCUGGGAGAUGGGCCUGAGAGAAGAGCAUUUUCUUAGGUAUUCGUGGCUGGCAAGAGACCCAUGGAGUUUCCUCCUAGUCACUCGCUCCUGAAGAGCUGGGCUCCAACUCUCAUGCCACCUAGAACUAGGAAUGGUAUGCAAGAAAGCUCAUGCUCC